AACGAACGCUGGCGGCAGGCCUAACACAUGCAAGUCGAGCGCCCUUUCGGGGGAGCGGCGGACGGGUGAGUAACGCGUGGGAAUAUGCCCUUCUCUACGGAAUAGCCUCGGGAAACUGAGAGUAAUACCGUAUACGCCCUGUGGGGGGAAGAUUGAUCGGGGAAGGAUUAGCCCGCGUGGGAUUAGGUGGUGGGUGGGGUAAUGGCCUACCAAGCCGACGAUCCAUAGCUGGUUUGAGAGGAUGAUCAGCCACACUGGGACUGAGACCCGGCCCAGACUCCUACGGGAGGCAGCAGUGGGGAAUCUUAGGCAAGGGGGGCAACCCUGAUCUAGCCAUGCCGCGUGAGUGAUGCAGGCCUUAGGGUUGUAAAGCUCUUUCAGCUGGGAAGAUAAUGACGGUACCAGCAGAAGAAGCCCCGGCUAACUCCGUG
rnacentral:rRNA from 1 species